rnacentral:rRNA from 1 species
AGAGUUUGAUCAUGGCUCAGGAUAAACGCUGGCGGCGUGCUUCAGGCAUGCAAGUCGAACGAGCUUCAGGGCUUCGGCCCUGAAGCGAGUGGCGGACGGGUGAGUAACACGUAAGUAACCUGCCCAAAAGUGGGGAAUAACCCGCCGAAAGGCGAGCUAAUACCGCAUGUGGUGGCUCUUCCCUGGAGGGGUCACAAAAGGCUUCGGUCGCUUUUGGAGGGGCUUGCGGCUGAUUAGCUAGUUGGUGGGGUAACGGCCUACCAAGGCAACGAUCGGUAGCUGGUCUGAGAGGACGGUCAGCCACACGGGGACUGAGAUACGGCCCCGACUCCUACGGGGGGCAGCAGCUAGGAAUCUUGGGAAUGGGCGAAAGCCUGACCCAGCAACGCCGCGUGGGCGAUGAAGGCCUUCGGGUCGUAAAGCCCUUUUGCAGGGGAAGAUGAUGACGGUACCCUGCGAAUAAGCCACGGCUAACUACGUGCCAGCAGCCGCGGUAAUACGUAGGUGGCAAGCGUUGUCCGGAUUUACUGGGCGUAAAGGGCGUGCAGGCGGUCUGUUAAGUCUAGGGUGAAAGCUCCCGGCUCAACUGGGAGAGGUCCUUGGAUACUGGCGGACUUGAGGGAGGCAGAGGAGAGUGGAAUUCCCGGUGUAGUGGUGAUAUGCGUAGAUAUCGGGAGGAACACCAGUGGCGAAGGCGGCUCUCUGGGCCUUACCUGACGCUGAGACGCGAAAGCGUGGGGAGCGAACCGGAUUAGAUACCCGGGUAGUCCA